GGGAGACAGAGAGAUAUUUUGAGGCGAUUCUUAGAUUCAAUCGUUUGUUCAUCAGAUUUCGGUCUCAGGUUAUCAACCAUGUCUGAGAAGAUUGUGUAUGCUAUCUUGACUCAUGGUGCAUGAAUCAUUUGGUCACAGUUAAUGAAGAUUGUUGGACAUGGAUACGAUGUAGAGAUGAUUACCUCUUGAUUAUUCUAUUUAUAAAUGUUGGUUGUCACUAGGGUAAUUAAGUUUCUUUACCUUCGUAAUUGAACUUGAAACCUUAUUUUGAGCAUAGAUUACCCUAGUAAUGAUGCAGAUGAUAUUCGAAAUUGAUGAUAUGUCACACUUCAAACUCGUUAGAAAUUAUCUGAUUUCAUAUGUUAUAAAUUUAGGGACUCAAGCUCAAAAUGAUUUUAUUCAAUAUGGGAAGGGAUAUUAUUGCUUCAGUACACGAUUCAAGUUGUACAUGUGUAUA